rnacentral:rRNA from 1 species
AACGCGAAAGCCUCCUUCGGGGGGCAAGUAGAGUGGCGCACGGGUGAGUAACACGUAGGUAAUCUACCUUUGGAUUGGGAAUAACAACCGGAAACGGUUGCUAAUACCGAAUAAUGCAGCGGCACCUAAUGGUGACAGUUGUUAAAGCGGGGGAUCGAAAGACCUCGCGUCUGAAGAGGAGCCUGCGGCAGAUUAGCUAGUUGGUAAGGUAACGGCUUACCAAGGCGAUGAUCUGUAGCCGGCCUGAGAGGGCGGUCGGCCACACUGACACUGACAUACGGGUCAGACUCCUACGGGAGGCAGCAGUCGGGAAUUUUGGGCAAUGGGCGAAAGCCUGACCCAGCAACGCCGCGUGAAGGAUGAAAUCCUUCGGGAUGUAAACUUCGCAAGAACGGGAAGAAUAAGUAAGAGUUAAUAUCUCUUACGAUGACGGUACUGUUUGUAAGCUCCGGCUAACUCCGUGCCAGCAGCCGCGGUAAUACGGGGGGAGCAAGCGUUGUUCGGAUUUACUGGGCGUAAAGGGCGCGUAGGCGGCCACCGCAAGUCGACUGUGAAAUCUCCGGGCUUAACCCGGAAAGGUCAGCCGAUACUGCGGGGCUAGAGUGCAGAAGGGGCAACUGGAAUUCUCGGUGUAGCGGUGAAAUGCGUAGAUUUCGAGAGGAACACCUGCGGCGAAGGCGGGUUGCUGGGCUGACACUGACCCUGAGGCGCGAAAGCUAGGGGAGCGAACGGGAUUAAAUACCCCGGUUGUCCUAGCCUUAAACGAUAAAGGCUUGGUGUCUGGGGUUUUAUAGUCCCCCGGGUGCCGUCCCUAACG